rnacentral:lncRNA from 14 species
CUCCUCUGCAUAAGGUUCACAUAGGAGGAUUUUAUGUCCCUCCUGAUGUCCUUGCCCUCGCCUCUGCUGAGGCUGGUUAUGUAACUUUGCAAGGCUGAAUUCCAGUAUCUAUAGUAACAUUUAAACAGAAAUAAAACAGUUCCCAAAACAGGAAAAAGUUACUGAAAACUAUCCAGAAAUGAGAUCUUGCCUCUUCUGUGUCACACAGACAACAAAACAUGGGUUGCUGGAUCUAUAUAAACCAUAGAUGAGAUCCUUAUCCCUACUGUCUCCUUUCACAGUCUGCAAGAGAGAUGGAAGCGAGGAAAAGGUCUUCAGAGAAAAGACAAUUGAUCUGGAAUGGGAAUGGGGGAAGACAGCCAUGUGGCCACUUUCCAAACAUGCUUUCAGAAGCUUGGCAUCCAAACUGUGCUGUUAUCUCGUUGGGACAUACAGUAUCCAAAAUCUUUCUUUGACCCGUACCUGUUGUGUCUGUUGCCACCUCUCCUCUUCAUGGAGCCUUUGCAGAGAGCAUAAGGAGAGGACAAUAUAUUGUGUGUGCUUCUAAUAAAAGGCUUGGAUAAACUGCUACUGGUCAGCCAUAUAUUCAAUGAAUAGUUGGAAAUUUAGAGUUUGGGGCUUGUGGAGCCUCCAGCUUUCUACAGAAAAGAGAUGUUUUUCUUGGAUAACCCCAAU